UGAGGAAUUUUGCGCAAUGGGGGAAACCCUGACGCAGCAACGCCGCGUGAGUGAAGAAGGCCUUCGGGUCGUAAAGCUCUGUCUAGCGGGAAGAACAUCCCAAAGGUAAAUAGCUUUUGGGACUGACGGUACCGCUGAAGGAAGCACCGGCUAACUCCGUGCCAGCAGCCGCGGUAAUACGGAGGGUGCAAGCGUUAUUCGGAAUCAUUGGGUGUAAAGCGCGUGUAGGCGGCUUGGAAAGUCAGAUGUGAAAGCUUCGGGCUUAACCCGGAAAGUGCAUUUGAAACUCCCUAGCUUGAGUCCCGGAGAGGAAGGUGGAAUUCCCAGUGUAGAGGUGAAAUUCGUAGAUAUUGGGAGGAACACCGGUGGCGAAGGCGACCUUCUGGACGGUGACUGACGCUGAGACACGAAAGCGUGGGUAGCAAACA
rnacentral:rRNA from 1 species